GAAUGGGGAGCCCCCGCUGAGAGAGGUGGGGGGAGCUCGGAGCAGCCAGGCGGGAAAAGUGUGAAACCCUCCCGUUCCCCGUCCCCUCUCAUGUCUCUGCCCUCCGAAAUAACGGGGGACCGAAAAAGUUGGGGUCCGGGCCGAACGGAAAGAGGGGGGCGAUCCAGGAAGGCAUCCCUUCCCGGCGAAGGGAUUCCCUCCUACACACCCCUUUUCUCCUUCACAUCCUGCUUUCUUGCCGUCAGUGACAAAUGUUAUUCACGUGAAGGGAAGCUAUGGGAUUUCAAAGCUGAUCUGCUGAUUUGGGCUCAGCCGUGGGCCUCGUUAAACACACACGAGCGAGGGGCCGUGGUGGAUCCACAGCGCGCUGUGUGUGCCCUGAGCAUCGCACGGCACAGGCACGGGGGGGUCAGGGAGCGGGGACAGUCAGUCUAGUGUCCCCCCGGCAUGGAAUCGGCAUCAAUGCUGUCGGAACGAGGUGGUGAGCGCAUUCCGGUCAUCGCCUGCGAUCUGACGGUCUGGACUGGGAGAGGAUGGGCCACAGCCUGCGCCGGGGGACAAGGUUCGGUUCUGUCUUCUCCCGCACAGGGGUGUGAAAAGGGGGCUCUGAUGUCCUGUAGGAGUCGAGGGAGGUACGGUGACAGCCCUCCAUCCCGCUUUAAAACUGUGUUGCCCUGGUGGCCAGACCUCCCCAGGUCCCACAGCACGGCAACCGAGGAGCAGCGGUCUGGCAUCGCCCUGCCUCUGUUUCUAGAUUGCCCUGUUGCUACUGAAAAGAUGGGGAACAGGAGUUCUGUGUGCUGUCAGGGCACGGGUAUCUGCGUGUCUGCCCUGCUGGAUGUCCCGCGGCUGGGACGGGCUGCCCGCUCAGCCCUCCUCCUUGUCAACAGGCGUGUAAGCAUCCCAUCUGCGAGGUUUUGACGAGCAUGCUGGUGUUCCGGCUGGGGGGUUCCGGCAGCGCUGGGACCGGCGUCAGCAGCACUGUCCGUCUGUCCGUCCGUCCCUCGGCGCGGUGCGGUGCAGUGGGGAGACGCGGUGCCGCCAGUGAGGGAGUGGGACGAGGACAGCGAUAUGUUGUACAGGGCAAAAAUGAGCGAGAACCGUCGUUCUGGUGUCAAAAUAGUCAUCGCGGUUCCGGGUGUUACCAGAACAGAAGAACAGCACCCUUUCCUGAAGGACAAGUGGACAAAGGCCGCCACCACGUCUAUCCUAGAACCUCUGCAGCCCGUCGGUUCUGUCGCUCCUUCUAAUCCUUAUUUCUCCGCCGUGCGAGUGAAAGCGGCGCUCAGAUAACAUGCUCAGUCCUUUGCCUGAGAUACCUACGCUGAGAAAAACAACUGGAAAUUUUUAUCCUAUUGACGAGCGGAGAAAUUUACACUCGGGUUUUACUACCUGGGAGAUGUAGCCGAGUUUUGUGUAUUUCCCUCCGUGUGCAUCACUGGCACCUCUUGGCACGGCAGAUAAAACACGCGAGGGGAAGGCAUGUCAAGCGUCAUUUUACAACUGCCUUUAGCGGCAAAGCUACUUUUAAAUUUAAAUAUUUUAAGUACAGGAGCCCAGAGCGCCCACUGGGAAAAAAAUAAAAUUAAAAUAAUAUUAAAAAAAAAAACAAACCACCAAAACCUCAACACACACAACAUAUCCUGUCCUUAUAUUUCUUUCUGAAGUCAUUUCCUGGAAGUGCAGAAGAAACGUCCUGUGAGAGACAGACGGGUAAGUUUUCUAUCACAGACGUUUAUGUCUUCUAUCACAGACUGUUGAGAUAUGAGAAAACUACAGAUUCCUAAGAGAAGAAAUAGGAAGGCAAUUAUAGAAAGGCAUCGUCUUGCAGAAAGUUCGGCUAAUGAACUACCAAAAUCGAAAAAAGACCGAAAAAAAGAAAAAAAAAAAAAGAAAAAAAAAGAAAAUCUGAAAAAGGAGGGGUGGUUAUCCAAUCAAACACAACCUCUAACUUCUCGGAAGUGCAUCUUCUUCCUGACAGCCUACUGCGUUUAGAGCUCUUCACUCCAUUCGUGGUAAAAAUUGCAUAAAAAUUGCAUUUCUGUGACAUAAAACUUUCGUUUUCGUUACUUUCAUAAAAGAGGAAGGGAGAAUCGGGGGAAGAUAAAAGCUUCCUACGGUCGCUGACAAGAGCUUCCGAGAAAAAGAUCUUCCCAUGCAACGCCGGUACAAAUUCAAUACUGCAGGGAGGAAUACCAAAAUAUUGUCGUUCCCUGAGAUAUUGCAGUCCCCUCGCUCCGCCCCCCGCGUUUCGUAAGCCUGACUCCUCUUCAGACUAGAGAAGACACAGACAGACACCGUAUUUUGAUCCCGGCAAACAACAUGCGAAGCACGGUGUGGGGAGGGGAAGGAGGCGACAAUUACUGCACCCCACCCCCUGUGGGGAGGAUGGUGGAGGAGUAGAGACGGGGCAGAAAGCCGAGAGUGAUGCCUGUCACCCUAGGGAUGCUCAACCUGCAGAGCAUCCUUCUUCCCACUAGGGACCGGAUUCACGGGAAACAACGAAAUAACCGUGCGUUUCAAGCCUUGUCUUUCCGAUGACUUAUUUUACACCUAGGCAUUAACUGGAUAACUACGUAACUAUAAUAAAAGAGCAGAAACGGCA